ensembl:lncRNA
AGCCGUGGGGUAGCUAUGGGGCAGCUAUGGGGUCUCUAUGAAGUCGCUAUGGGGCAGCUGUGGGGCAGCUAUGGGGUCUCUAUGGGUCUCUAUGGGGUCGCUAUGGGGCAGCCAUGGGGCAGCUAUGGGGCAGCCAUGGGGCAGCCAUGGGGCAGUUAUGGGGCAGCUAUGGGGCAGUUAUGGGGUCGCUAUGGGGCAGCCAUGGGGCAGCCAUGGGGCAGCUAUGGGGCAGCUAUGGGGCAGUUAUGGGGUAGCUAUAGGGUCACUAUGGGGCAGCCAUGGGGCAGCCGUGGGGCAGCCGUGGGGCGGUGACGCUGAGCGCUGCGGCACGCAGAGGGCGCGGAGCUGCCGGUGUCGGUGCGGCCGGUCGGGGACGGCGUGUACGAGUGCGAGUACCGCCCCACGGCGCCGGGGCCGCACAGCGUCGGCAUCACAUGGGGGGGGUACGGCAUCCCCAGGAGCCCGCUGCAGGUGGAGGUGGGUCCGGCGGCGGGCGCCCAGAAGGUGCGGGCCUGGGGGCCCGGGCUGCACGACGGCGUGGUGGGGAGAUCCGCCGACUUCGUGGUGGAGGCCAUCGGCACCGACGUGGGAACGCUGGGGUUCUCCAUCGAGGGCCCGUCGCAGGCCAAGAUCGAGUGCGACGACCGCGGCGACGGCUCGUGCGACGUGCGCUACUGGCCCACGGAGGCGGGGGAGUACGCGGUGCACGUGGUGUGCGACGACCAGGACAUCCGCUGCAGCCCCUUCAUCGCGCGCAUCCGCCCGCCUGCGCCCGACUGCAGCCCCGACAAGGUGGGGCGGCGCCGCCGCAGCCCGUGUCGUCACGUGUCGUCACGUGUCAUCAUCACGUGUCGUCAUCACGUGUCGUCAUCACGUGUCAUCACGUGUCGUCACGUGUCACCAUCACGUGUCAGCCCGUGUCGUCACGUGUCGUCACGUGUCAUCAUCACGUGUCAUCAUCACGUGUCAUCACGUGUCAUCACGUGUCAUCAUCACGUGUCAUCACGUGUCAUCACGUGUCGUCAUCACGUGUCAUCACGUGUCGUCAUCACGUGUCGUCGUCACGUGUCGUCACGUGUCAUCAUCACGUGUCAGCCCGUGUCAUCACGUGUCAUCAUCACGUGUCAUCACGUGUCGUCAUCACGUGUCGUCAUCACGUGUCAUCAUCACGUGUCAGCCCGUGUCAUCACGUGUCAUCAUCACGUGUCAUCACAUGUCGUCAUCACGUGUCAUCAUCACGUGUCAUCACGUGUCAUCACGUGUCAUCAUCACGUGUCAUCUCGUGUCGUCAUCACGUGUCGUCAUCACGUGUCGUCAUCACAUGUCAUCACGUGUCGUCAUCACGUGUCAUCAUCACGUGUCAUCAUCACGUGUCAUCAUCACGUGUCAGCCCGUGUCAUCAUCACGUGUCAUCUCGUGUCAGCCCGUGUCAUCAUCACGUGUCAUCUCGUGUCAGCCUGUGUCAGCCCAUGUCAUCUCGUGUCAGCCCGUGUCAGCCUUUGUUCUCCCAUGUUUGUCAGCCCGUGUUCACCCGUGUCAGCCUGUGUUAUCCCAUGUCAGCCUGUGUUCUCCCAUGUCAGCCUGUGUCAGCACACGGCAGCCCAUGUCAUCCCAUGUCAGUCUGUGUCAGCCAAUGUCACCCCACCCCCACCCCCACCCUCACCCCCAUC